CGGGCCUACUGAAGUUAAAAAGAGCAACAGCUGCAACAGUACGUACACAGCGAGAGCGAGAGGAGAGGGGGAAUGUAAAGAGGCAAGUGUAUAUAAGUUGAUGUUGGACUGAAGAGAGAGCGCAGAGGAGGCGGAGGAACACAAGGGCAUGUGGGAUGUCCUCCGCCUCCAGUCAACACGGACACAGAUUCGGUUACAAUGUAAUGAUCUGCACAGAGACACUCACAGGCACACACAGAGCUCCUGAGGCUGCCAUCGACUGAGCCCUCAGGGUGCAAACUAAUUUGCUCGCGGUCGAACACAGUCACUCCUCUGAAUAACUGUGUAAAUACUCACCCUGCCGCAGGGCACAACUAAGAUAUAAUGAGACCCUGUUCCUUUUUGUGGAUGUGUGAGUGUGAGCGCAUCUUCAAGCACCGUUUAAAAAAAAUGCACACUCAAAUGUGCUUGAUUGCAAUUGGCCAGUUCUCUACUUUUAGAACGACCACGAACAUGCUUCGCAGUGAGGUUAGUAGCAUCAAUUCUACCAUCAAAAGCAUUCUGUGUGUUUGACAUGCUUUGCAUAAUCAAUAUUAAGUGUGUUUUUCUUUGCCAAAAGCCAAGAAGAGUGUGAUAGGGUGAGAAAGAGAUACCACAUUUAAAAUGUGAUAUUCUUUCUUCAGUAUAUAAACAUGAGAUUUUCUCAUCUGUUCACUGAUCUGUUCUUUUCUUUUCAUUGUGUACUAUAAUUCAUUAAUUCACUCUUUCAUUGCUUUAGAAAAUAAACAUCUUUGCAGCUUAAUCCAACAAAGCUAAUGCGACUGGAGUCUCCCAUGAACCUGACGUGCACCUGUGUACACACAUAUACUGCUUAUAUCUGCAUGUACACAGGAGGGGAGGAAAGCCCUCUAAAGACCAAUCCCAAAUCUAGUGGGACACUGUCCUGCACCAUGUACAUCCAGGCCCGGUAUCUCAAAACAAAACACGAGGGUUAUGCAAGAGGAAUAGGUAGAAACAGGAAACUGUAAGUGGAGGCAAAUAUGACCUGUGGGUGUUUCUCAUUGUGUCCUACUUUGAUGUCUCUUUGUUUACAGCUUCCGCCCUGAGCUUCUUGUCCCAUAUAGAGCACGUUCCUCCCUAGGAUCCCGCAUCCUCAUCUGCUAAGCGGGACCUCAUUUGCAUAAUCCUUGUGAACACAUACCUGCAAAGAUCCCUCGCAAUCAUCACAGCCUUAUGGGUAUCGACUUCUGCACACGUGCUUUCCGUAAGCCGGGCAUCACGGCAUAAUGGCACAAAGGUUACAUAAGCCUACGCUAUGGAGCCCACAGGCCGCCGCUGCACUGAGCUAAACCUCCGAAUUAUGUCAUUCAGGUGUUUUACACUUAUAUGAAAUGAAGGAUAUCUUCAUUAGGGUCUGAGCCGACUGAAGGUCCGGCGAAGCCCUAUUGUGUUUUCGAAGAAUUAUUCUAUUUCUUUCACCACUUCAAUCGCACUUUUGAGGUCUUUAUCAUAUUAAAGUAGUUAAGUGCAAAGUUUUUGCCCAGUUUCACCGAUUGACGUGAAAUUUUGCACACAGAUGUUCUUGGACAUGCUCUACUAAAAAAGUCAACCGUAUUCUAAAAUGAAGAGGAAGGUUUUGUGAGUGAAUAUUGCCUCUAUUUUCUUUUCCUUGUUCUGACGUCAUGUCUGGCUGAGCGCUGCCGCCCCCGACAUGCAAGGGGAGGCGAAGGCCCGUUCAUCUCUGCUUGCAGCUUUAAUUAUCUUUAUUAUCAUCAUCAACAUAUCGAAUUGUUGCCAGCUUUCUUCUCCUGUCUACAAACCUGUAGAUGAAGGGACUCGAGGUGGCUGGUGAGGGAUUCUUGGUUGUUCAGCUCAGUCUGUCGAGGAACGGUGAGGUGUGAGUGGAAACACUGACCAAAUCAACCUGAUCCAUUGAGCCCAUUUGUUGACCUCGUCUCUGGUUUCCCUCCAGUUCAUUUGAAACCGGCUGUCACCGCACGACAAAAACUCUCACACAAGCCCAUGAUCUACCACGUACGUCCCGGCGGUGAGGAGGCCGCUCUCGUUCCUUCCACUCGGGCUGUAACCUGCACCUCCGUCACAUCCUCAUUCCUCCAAAACAAGAUAUCAGCUUACGUUUAGUUUUUCUUGCCAACAUUAGUCAUUACUGCAGAAGCGGAGGAACUCCACGGGUUGAAUGAGCAGUGACACAUGAUCUCAUUGUAAAGGUAAAAAAGAAAAAUGGAACUGUGCAUUAUUUACAUCUCAGACUUUAAACUGGCAAUGUUCCCGAGAGCAGUGUAUACAAGUGAGCCGGUGCUUUUGUUCAAGAUCACUUUUGACCAGAUACGUGAGUGUCUCCUUUUCUGAAAGGCUGACAGUUAAUGGGCAAACUCGCUUAUCGAC
ensembl:lncRNA